rnacentral:snoRNA from 1 species
CCUCGGGCUGAUAACUAGCCAAUGGUUCGACAUGCACCACAGCCUUUGGCCUUUAAGUGUCCGAGAGAUCAAACCCUGCAAAGAUCUUACACGUUUUCUGAUUUUCUGUGAUUUCCAACGUUUAAUCUUUUGCAACAUGC